rnacentral:rRNA from 1 species
AUGGCGGGCGGCGGCGGUCGUGGUCGCGGGGAGGAGGAGUACGACUACCUGUUCAAGGUGGUGCUGAUCGGCGACUCCGGGGUGGGGAAAUCCAACCUGCUCUCCCGCUUCACCCGCAACGAGUUCUGCCUCGAGUCCAAGUCCACCAUCGGCGUCGAGUUCGCCACCCGCACCCUCCACGUGGAGGGCAAGAUAAUCAAGGCGCAGAUCUGGGACACGGCGGGGCAGGAGCGGUACCGGGCCAUCACGAGCGCCUACUACCGGGGCGCGCUCGGGGCGGUGCUCGUCUACGACGUCACCAAGCCCACCACCUUCGAGAACAUCGCCCGGUGGCUCAAGGAGCUGCGCGACCACGCCGACGCAAACAUCCGGAUCAUGCUCGUCGGCAACAAGACCGACCUCAAGGACCUCCGGGCCGUCCCCACCGAUGACGCGGGGGGAUACGCCGAGGCCGAGGGGCUGUCCUACAUCGAGACUUCCGCGCUCGAGGCCAUGAACGUCGAGGAGGCCUUCCAGCUCAUCCUCGGCGACAUCUACCGCACCGUUAGCAAGAAGGCCGUGGCCUCCGAGGAGGACAGGGCAGGGGCUGCUGGGGUCAAGGAAGGUAAGACCAUCAAUGUCGCUGCCACCGCCGACAAUGGCGGCGAAAAGAAGCAAUGCUGCUCAGCUUAG